AUGGACUGGAUCGCCGGCAAUCAUCGGCUGGGCAGGCCUGGAUGUCGACGAGACGGGACGGAAAGUCGGUGGCUGGGCAGCGAUCUCUGGUGGCUGGGCAGCGUUCUCCGACAGCUGGGCAGCGCUCUCUGGCAGCUGAGCAGCAAACAAGGACACCGGCUAGAUCACCAGUGGAACAGGAACAACACAAAAGACAGGGUGUCGACUCGACAGGCCUGGUUUCUAUCACUGUGGUGGACGUUUGGCGGCGGCACCAGACUGGAUGUUGGCAGUGUAACUCGUCCUACAGUUACGGUCCUGCCAGCGUCCAGUGAAGAGAUUUCCAGUAAGCAGACAGCAACACUGAUGUGUGUGGUCAGCAAGGGCUUCCCUUCAGACUGGAGCUUGAGCUGGAAGGUGGAUGGGAACAGCAGGUCUCAGGAGAACAGCGCUGGACUCCUGCAGAAGGACGGUCUGUACAGCUGGAGCAGCAGUCUGACUAUCUCUGAACACGACUGGAUCAAGAGCGUCUCAGUGAGCUGUGAGGCCACACGAGGAGACCAGACAGUCACUGGACAAGUGAAGAUAGAUCAGUGUUCUCAAUAGAUCCUCUGUCUUCUGCUCUCUUCUUCUCAUUCAUGUCUCACAACAGUGGCUUUCUAUUCAUAUGUGCUUCAUUCAUUCAGUGAUGAGUUUAUUUUGCUAAUAUUCAAUAAAAGAAAAAUAACAAACUUGAA